UAUAGGCCUCACUUUGCUUCUUUUUUCUUUACUUUCUUCUUCUUCUUCUUCUUCUUCUUUCCUCCAUUAAAGCCUAUUAUUGGAGCUUAAUUUUGAUAGCUUUCUAGAAAGAUUUUGGGGUUUGUUAGCUGCUGGGUCUCGGCUCUUGUAGAGGACACGGAAAAGAGGUUGGCGAGGACCUCCCUCCACAAGCCUAGAUUGACUUGGACUAGCUUUCGUGACAUCUUUUGUUAUGUAUCAAUGUAUAUGUUGUAAUUAUGUAAAAGUCAUGUGAAUGUUACACUUGUAUUUUUAGUGCA